rnacentral:rRNA from 1 species
CGACAAGUGGGUAAAGUUGGGGUGAACCAAAAAAGUUUGGGUAGAGCCGGAUCUAAGUGUUGGCUAGGUAAACGCCCCGUAGUAAGAGAGGUAGUUAUGAACCCUGUGGACCACCCCCGUCCCACAACCCCUUAG